AUUGAACGCUGGCGGCAGGCCUAACACAUGCAAGUCGAGCGGAUGAAGGGAGCUUGCUCCUGGAUUCAGCGGCGGACGGGUGAGUAAUGCCUAGGAAUCUGCCUGGUAGUGGGGGAUAACGUCCGGACACGGGCGCUAAUACCGCAUACGUCCUGAGGGAGAAAGUGGGGGAUCUUCGGACCUCACGCUAUCAGAUGAGCCUAGGUCGGAUUAGUUAGUUGGUGGGGUAAAGGCCUACCAAGGCGACGAUCCGUAACUGGUCUGAGAGGAUGAUCAGUCACACUGGAACUGAGACACGGUCCAGACUCCUACGGGAGGCAGCAGUGGGGAAUAUUGGACAAUGGGCGAAAGCCUGAUCCAGCCAUGCCGCGUGUGUGAAGAAGGUCUUCGGAUUGUAAAGCACUUUAAGUUGGGAGGAAGGGCAGUAAGUUAAUACCUUGCUGUUUUGACGUUACCAACAGAAUAAGCACCGGCUAACUUUGUG
rnacentral:rRNA from 1 species